rnacentral:rRNA from 1 species
AGGACGAACGCUGGCGGCGUGCUUAACACAUGCAAGUCGAGCGGAAAGGCCCUUCGGGGUACUCGAGCGGCGAACGGGUGAGUAACACGUGAGCAAUCUGCCCUUAGCUUCGGGAUAGCCCCGGGAAACCGGGAUUAAUACCGAAUAUGACCUCGGCCGACAUCGGCUUUGGUGGAAAGUUUUUCGGCUAGGGAUGAACUCGCGGCCUAUCAGCUUGUUGGUGGGGUAAUGGCCUACCAAGGCGACGACGGGUAGCCGGCCUGAGAGGGCGACCGGCCACACUGGGACUGAGACACGGCCCAGACUCCUACGGGAGGCAGCAGUGGGGAAUAUUGCGCAAUGGGCGAAAGCCUGACGCAGCGACGCCGCGUGGGGGAUGAAGGCCUUCGGGUUGUAAACCCCGUUUCAGCAGGGACGAAGCGAGAGUGACGGUACCUGCAGAAGAAGCGCCGGCUAACUACGUGCCAGCAGCCGC